rnacentral:rRNA from 1 species
UACGUAGGGUGCAAGCGUUAAUCGGAAUUACUGGGCGUAAAGCGUGCGCAGGCGGUGAUGUAAGACAGGUGUGAAAGCCCCGGGCUCAACCUGGGAAUGGCCGUUGAAACUGGCGAACUGGAGUGUGGCAGAGGGGGGUGGAAUUCCGCGUGUAGCAGUGAAAUGCGUAGAGAUGCGGAGGAACACCGAUGGCGAAGGCGGGUCUCUGGGCCGAUACUGACGCUGAGGAGCGAAAGCGUGGGGAGCGAACAGG